rnacentral:lncRNA from 1 species
AUGGUGACAACCUGGCACAGGCCUCCUCCUGUUUCACUGGCAUAUAUCCAUCACCAGAGGGCUCCACUGACCUGCCUGCUGACAUCAGAGCACACCCCUUUGUCAUGUGACCUGGCUGGCGUUGCAAAGCUGGACUCAGACCUGGCCCAGGCAAGUUCAAAGGCAGUUGUGGUAGAGAGAGCAGGGAGUAUAUCACUUCUAAAAACUUCUCCUGUAGCUGUUUUUGUUUAAAUGUUUAGGAUAGCAUUUAGAAUUCAACUUUACUGUCAUUACACAUGUCUAAAUACAGGGUAACAACAGUUUGCAUCUAAUCAGUAAGUGCAAUAAGAGCAGAUUAUAUACAGGUAAGUUAAGUGGAGAGAAAAUAUACAGAUGUACUGAUAUAUACAGAUAAGGGUCGUAUAAAUGAUGAUAGUAGUCAUGAACAGAGAGAACAAAUAUACAGCUGAAUUACAGACAAAUGUAUAGCAUACAGAUGUUCAAUAUUGCUGUACAGACGGGCAGAUAUACAGGUGCACUAUGAACAAAUAUACAGCGGUGUGAGGUAAACAGAUCUACAGACUGCUAUGAAUAUAUCUACAGCAGUGGAAGCGUAGCUCUUAUUAACCCCGAUUCUUUUGUCCCCAUGAUAGAACAGAGAAAACCCGACUCAUAGUGGUCAAAACAUUUUAUAUUUCUUUUAUUUCAAUCAUCUUCCAGAAGAGAGAGAGCCCUGCACAGCCCAAACGCCAGUUGCAGGAUC